rnacentral:rRNA from 1 species
GAUGAACGCUAGCGGGAGGCCUAACACAUGCAAGCCGAGCGGUAUUGUUUCUUCGGAAAUGAGAGAGCGGCGUACGGGUACGUAACACGUGUGCAACCUGCCUUUAUCUGGGGGAUAGCCUUUCGAAAGGAAGAUUAAUACUCCAUAAUAUAUUGAACGGCAUCGUUUAAUAUUGAAAGCUCCGGCGGAUAGAGAUGGGCACGCGCAAGAUUAGCUAGUUGGUGAGGUAACGGCUCACCAAGGCGAUGAUCUUUAGGGGGCCUGAGAGGGUGAUCCCCCACACUGGUACUGAGACACGGACCAGACUCCUACGGGAGGCAGCAGUGAGGAAUAUUGGUCAAUGGGUGCAAGCCUGAACCAGCCAUCCCGCGUGAAGGACGACUGCCCUAUGGGUUGUAAACUUCUUUUGUAUAGGGAUAAACCUACCCUCGAGAGGGUAGCUGAAGGUACUAUACGAAUAAGCACCGGCUAACUCCGUG